GUUUUAUGGCAAAAAUGUGUUCAGCCUUUCCUACCCAUUUCAAUGUAUUUUCUCAUUUGCCUGAUAUAUGGGAGUAACUCAUCUAGUUUCUAAAUCUUUUCCACAGGCAGUUGCUCCUUGUAUAGCUGUAUAUUUGGUAUAUUUAUAGGAGGAGCAAAGCUCAGGAGCCUCCUAUGUUACCAUCUUGAUUGAUUCUCUGUUUUGAUUCUGUUCUCCUGAAGUACUGAAGUCACCAUGGUUGGAAACAGGAAGAAUGGUGACAGUGAAGUCGGUAUACAUCAGAGGAACACAGACCCUGGCAUCCUUUUCUGCCUCAUGAGGGCAAACCCAUGAGGAACACCACCUUCAUGCCUGUCCCCACAAUGUGACUGCUGUAAGUGGUAUCUCUUGGCAAUGGAUUAACUGGGAAAUGCACAUUGGGAAGUGCACAGCAGACAU
rnacentral:lncRNA from 1 species